rnacentral:rRNA from 1 species
AGAGUUUGAUCCUGGCUCAGAAUCAACGCUGGCGGCGCGCCUAACACAUGCAAGUCGAACGAGAAAGUGGAGCAAUCCAUGAGUAAAGUGGCGUACGGGUGAGUAACACGUGGAUCAUCUACCCUCUAGUGGGGAAUACCGUUGGGAAACCGACGACAAUACCGCAUAAGCUCGAGAGAGGAAAGCAGUAAUGCGCUGGAGGAGGAGUCCGCGGUCGAUUAGUUAGUUGGCGGGGUAAAGGCCCACCAAGACUGUGAUCGAUAGCCGGCCUGAGAGGGCACACGGCCACACUGGCACUGAAACACGGGCCAGACUCCUACGGGAGGCAGCAGUGGGGAAUCUUGCACAAUGGGGGAAACCCUGAUGCAGCGACGCCGCGUGAGUGAUGAAGGCCCUAGGGUUGUAAAGCUCUUUUGUGCGGGAAGAUAAUGACGGUACCGCAAGAAUAAGCCCCGGCUAACUUCGUGCCAGCAGCCGCGGUAAUACGAAGGGGGCUAGCGUUGCUCGGAAUCACUGGGCGUAAAGGGUGCGUAGGCGGGUCUUUAAGUCAGGGGUGAAAUCCUGGAGCUCAACUCCAGAACUGCCUUUGAUACUGAGGAUCUUGAGUUCGGGAGAGGUGAGUGGAACUGCGAGUGUAGAGGUGAAAUUCGUAGAUAUUCGCAAGAACACCAGUGGCGAAGGCGGCUCACUGGCCCGAUACUGACGCUGAGGCACGAAAGCGUGGGGAGCAAACAGGAUUAGAUACCCUGGUAGUCCACGCCCUAAACGAUGGAUACUCGACAUUUGUGAUAUACAAUAAGUGUCUGAGCGAAAGCAUUAAGUAUCCCACCUGGGAAGUACGACCGCAAGGUUGAAACUCAAAGGAAUUGACGG